rnacentral:misc_RNA from 1 species
ACAAAAGACCAGACGGCUUCCGGUACAGAUGUGAUCGAGGUUUUUAACGUAUUUCAAUGGAAAAUUUUCGGAAAAUUGAGAAGAUUGGCGAAGGAACCUAUGGCGUGGUGUAUAAAGCACAAGAUAAGACCACCGGACAACUUGUAGCAUUAAAGAAAAUCAGAUUAGACACGUGUGUAUAUAACUGAAGUGUUAUAUUUUUAAGUACGAUACUGAGUCAGAAGGUGUGCCAAGUACAGCAAUUCGAGAAAUUUCCCUGUUGAAGGAACUUGAUCAAAGCUGCAUUGUCAGAUUACUAGAUGUUGUCCAUAGUGAGCAGAAGCUGUACUUGGUGUUUGAGUACCUAAAUCAGGACCUGAAGAAGUACAUGGAUAGCUGUCCAGCCUCUGGGAUGCCAUCAUCGCUCAUCAAGAGCUACAUGCACCAAUUGCUUCAAGGAAUAGCCUACUGUCAUUCACACCGAGUGUUACACAGAGACUUGAAGCCGCAGAACUUGUUGAUUGAUGUGGAGGGCAAUAUCAAACUGGCAGACUUUGGACUAGCCAGGGCAUUUGGUGUCCCAGUUAGAACAUACACUCAUGAGGUUGUGACAUUGUGGUACAGGGCCCCCGAGAUCCUCCUGGGCAGCAGGUUCUACUCCACCCCAGUAGAUUUGUGGUCCCUCGGCUGUAUCUUUGCAGAAAUGAUGACAAGACGUGCAUUGUUUCAAGGAGAUUCUGAAAUUGACCAGCUUUUUAGGAUCUUCAGAACACUUGGAACUCCAGAUGAGAGUGUUUGGCCAGGCGUGUCCCAGCUACCAGAUUACAAAUCCUCCUUCCCCAAGUGGCCCCAGCAGUCAAUCUGUAGCAUUGUUCCACAUCUAACAGGGGACGGGCUGGACUUAAUGGCAAAAAUGUUGAAAUAUGAGCCCAGUCAGAGGAUAUCAGCCAAGAAGUCUCUGACUCAUCCUUACUUUAAUGGAGUCUGCAAACAAAGGCCACCACAGAUCUUCAAGUGAGAGGAAGUCUGCCUAUUUUAAGUGCCCUUCUUCUUACCUCCCACAUAAUCAUAAUAACUGAUGUGUUCAAAUACAUGACUGUGAUAUAACAACUGUGUUUAGCUAAGACAUCUUUAUUUCACUCAAAAGGAAUCUUUAAAAAAAUUGAUGAAAUGUUACAACUGUUUGAUUUUAAUUGUCUCUAUUUUUCAUGGUAAUAUGUACAUGUAAUUACUUGUAUAUCUUUACAGAAACACCAUAUUGAACUGACUCCAUUUUAUUAUAAUAAACAUUUUUUGAUAAUUUACACAAUGUAAUUUGGCAUAAACAAAACAAAAUGUGUCAAAUUCACUAACAAUAAAUUGAAUUAUAACAUGUACCCCUGGUAAUGCUGAAUGAAUUUUUAGACAUUUUUAAAUGUUACAGACAAAUAGUAUUCAGUUAUGUUCAAUUUUUAUUUUAUCGGAUACAUGUAUACGUAAUCGUAUUUUGUAUUCCGUAUUUGAAUUAAGUAUAUUUUUAUUUAUAUCCACUUUCAAGUGUAACAUAAAUGUACUUUACCAGUAAUUACACACACACACAAACACACACAUGUAUAUAUAAUUAUAUAUGAUCAUGCAUUUUCUUAAUAGCAAACCAAGUAAAUGAUAUGUAAAUAAAUUUCAGUUUGGUUCAGUGUGUACUAUCGUCUAUCAUUAUGAUAAUCCAAUGAUGAAUGGCAUUGUUAAAUAUCUCUGUUGAGAAUAUACCUAAGUAUAUUAUUUGUACUAAGUGUUGUUAAUUAAAUAUGAAACCCA